GGGAUGAUAGCUCAGUUGGGAGAGCGCGAGAGUGAAGCUUCAAAGUCAAUUCUUGAGGUCGGGCGUUCGAUCCGCCCUCGUCCCA
rnacentral:tRNA from 1 species